UGAUUUAUAUUUUAAACUCAAAGUGACCACAUCCAACUAUUCUUUUUCCAGAUAACCCUCCAGAGUGCCAAAUUCCCAAUGGAACAAAUGUCAUAUGGCUCUACACAUAUGAGGUUCUCUUGGUUAAUAAAUGAAGACAGGAAAGAAAAAGAAAAGACAAAGAAACGGAAACACUGCCCACCACAGUCAUUAUUCUGGAGGAGUUGCAGGAUAUUCAACUUGUUUGGAAAUGGAGGGUCCAGGGGCAUGGGUCAAGGGCAGAGGCAUCUCAGCUUUCAUCCUGGGACUUCAGGACACAUUCUGGGUCAUGAUGAAGGAUUCAUCAAACCACUGUUUUGUGGUGGUAGGGGGAAUGCUUCCAAUGUGAAAGAGUGGAGCACACCAUUUAAAAGAAGGGUAGCGAUGGAGGGAAAAGAAAUUUCUGAAAUGAUCACAGAAAUAACAUGCAUUCAAGAAACAACAAAGGAGAAAAACAAUGAAAGUGGGAGUGCAUAUUUUACUGCAGCCCGAGGAUUUCAGUAGCUGAUGCAUUCACAGAAAGUCUCUUACAGUCUUACUGUCUUUUACUACAAUGCAAAUUUAUUCUGCCUGAGUAAUAACUACCACAAUACUGUCAUUCCCCAAUUACGUUGAUAUAGUCAGUCACACACUGCUGAAAUAAAGAGUCAGAAGCAGGAAAUAUGAUGUUUUUU
rnacentral:lncRNA from 1 species